rnacentral:tRNA from 2 species
AUGAGAUUAAGUUAAAUUUAGACUGUAUGUUUUCAAAACAUUUAGUGAUUUUUAUCAUUUCAUG